GAUCAUGGCUCAGGAUGAACGCUGGCGGCGUGCCUAAUACAUGCAAGUCGAGCGAACAGACAAGGAGCUUGCUCCUUUGACGUUAGCGGCGGACGGGUGAGUAACACGUGGGUAACCUACCUAUAAGACUGGGAUAACUUCGGGAAACCGGAGCUAAUACCGGAUAAUAUUUCGAACCGCAUGGUUCGAUAGUGAAAGAUGGUUUUGCUAUCACUUAUAGAUGGACCCGCGCCGUAUUAGCUAGUUGGUAAGG
rnacentral:rRNA from 1 species